rnacentral:rRNA from 1 species
AUACGGAGGGUGCAAGCGAUAAUCGGAAUUACUGGGCGUAAAGCGCGCGUAGGCGGUUAUUUAAGUCAGAUGUGAAAUCCCCGGGCUCAACCUGGGAACUGCAUCUGAUACUGGUAAGCUAGAGUUUUAGAGAGGGAAGUAGAAUUUCAGGGGUAGCGGUGAAAUGCAUAGAGAUCUGAAGGAAUACCAGUGGCGAAGGCGACUUCCUGGCCAAAAACUGACGCUGAGGUGCGAAAGCGUGGGUAGCAAACGGGAUUAGAAACCCUAGUAGUCC